rnacentral:rRNA from 1 species
AACGAACGCUGGCGGCAUGCCUAACACAUGCAAGUCGAACGAGACCUUCGGGUCUAGUGGCGCACGGGUGCGUAACGCGUGGGAACCUGCCCUUAGGUUCGGAAUAACUCCCCGAAAGGGGUGCUAAUACCGGAUAAUGUCUUCGGACCAAAGAUUUAUCGCCUUUGGAUGGGCCCGCGUUGGAUUAGCUAGUUGGUAGGGUAAAAGCCUACCAAGGCGACGAUCCAUAGCUGGUCUGAGAGGAUGAUCAGCCACGCUGGGACUGAGACACGGCCCAGACUCCUACAGGAGGCAGCAGUGGGGAAUAUUGGACAAUGGGCGAAAGCCUGAUCCAGCAAUGCCGCGUGAGUGAUGAAGGCCUUAGGGUUGUAAAGCUCUUUUACCCGGGAUGAUAAUGACAGUACCGGGAGAAUAAGCUCCGGCUAACUCCGUG